rnacentral:misc_RNA from 1 species
GAUGAAGAACGUAGUGAAAUGCGAUACGUAAUGUGAAUUGCAGAAUUCAGUGAAUCAUCGAGUCUUUGAACGCACAUUGCGCCCUCUGGUAUUCCGGAGGGCAUGUCUGUCCGAGCGUCAUUGCUGCCCUCAAGCACGGCUUGUGUGUUGGGCUCCGUCCCCCGAUCCCGGGGGACGGGCCCGAAAGGCAGCGGCGGCACCGCGUCCGGUCCUCGAGCGUAUGGGGCUUUGUCACCCGCUCUGUAGGCCCGGCCGGCGCUUGCCGAUCAACCAAAUUUUUAUCCAGGUUGACCUCGGAUCAGGUAGGGAUACCCGCUGAACUUAAGCAUAUCAAUAAGCGGAGGA